CGAGCAAGAUGGAUAAUCGUUUGUUUUUUUAUAUGUAAAUAUAAAUGAAAAUAAGAGGAAAGUCUGAACUCCAUGAAGAUAUGGUGGUGGAUAACACCCACGGGGAGAGAUCCUACGGAAAGUGCAACAGAAAAUAAACCGCCGAAAGGUAAGGGUGAAACAGUGAGGUAAGAGCUCACUACAGUUGCAGAAAUGCAAAUGUUGGCAAACCCCACUAGGAGCAAUAUCAAAUUAUAUAUACCGCUUUGGCGGGGCGUAUCUUCACGCUUUAUAUAUGGGUAGAUAGCUUGAAAUUAUAAGCAAUUAUAAUUCUAGAUUAAUGAUUAUCAAACACAGAAUUCGGCUUAUAUCUUGCUCUUCUA
rnacentral:RNase_P_RNA from 1 species